rnacentral:rRNA from 1 species
UUUUAAUUUUUAACUUUAAUUGUUGUGAAACUUUUUUUUUUUUUUUUUUUUUAUUUAAUGUUUUGUAAAAUAUUUAUUAUUUUUUUAUUUUUGUGAGAAGUUUUUUAAAUUUGUUUUAUUGAACUGGAUUAGUACCCAGGUAAUCAAAAUUUAUUAGUUCGGGAGUAAAGUUGUAUUUAAACCGAAAAAAUAUUGACUGACCUUAGAUUUUUUUUUGGAACAUGUUUUGGAGAGCCCUCCUUGGUAGUUUUUUUUUAGGUGCAUGUAUGAUUGUUUAGUUUUUAUAUUAAUUUUGAGGCUUGUUUUUGUUUUAAAACAGAUAUAUACUUGGCUAAUAAAAGAUUUUUUAUGUGUUACUAUUUUUUAUUUAUCCGGAUGUAAUUUUUAUUAAUUAUUGAAGUUGGAAAAAAAAGUAAUUUUAUUUUAAGGUUAAAGUGAAUUAAAUAAAUGAGG